rnacentral:misc_RNA from 1 species
AGCUUCUCCGGAGCUUGUUAGCAAGUUGAUACCAGAGCACGUGAAACGACAUAUGGGUCUAAAUUUCUUCCCUUCAAUCACAUGAGUUAAAGAGUGAUGGAAAAUUGGUUUCUACAAAUCUAUGAAUGAGACAUGGGGAUUUAAAUCACCCUGUGGUGGGCCUGUCUGAUCAGCAACCAUAUCUUGCUCUAUGAUGACAUUAAAGAUUUAGGAG